GGGCGAGUAGUGUAGUGGUUAUCACGAACCCUUCACACGGGUUAGGUCAUGGGUUCAAACCCCAUCUUGCUCA